rnacentral:lncRNA from 1 species
GUUGUCGUUUGUUUAUGUGUUACAUAUUUGUUUUUCGUUCAUUUUUUUUUAUAUAAUUAAGGCCGUUAGUUUCUCGUUUGAAUUGUUUUACAUUGUCAUAUCGGGGCCUUUUAUAGCUGACUAUGUGGUAUGGCCUUUGCUCAUUGUUGAAGGCCGCACGGUGAUCUAUAAAUGUUAAUUUCUGUGUCAUUUUGGUCUCUUGUGGACAGCUGUCUCAUUGGCAAUCGUACCACAUCUUCUUUUUUAU